rnacentral:misc_RNA from 1 species
UUUUCUAGGUCAAUGAAUACCAUGGAAGAUCCUUCUUCUUCUCCUUGUAAAUUUCCAUUAAUCUUCUUAACAGAAAGAAAGACUUUGUUGUAGAUCUAUCAAAGACUCUGAUGUAGAUCUACCAGGCAUAAAGCCAAACUGGUCUCUAAUGCCCUAGUAGUGUCCCUAAGUUUGUGUUCAAUUACUCUUUCCCAUUGCUUUAUCAUCUGCCACAUCAGUUUAAUGCCACAAUAGUGUAGUGCAGUGAUUACUUUGAGGACCUAGAAGAUAUUUGAAAAUUAGGAAUUUGUAUUAAUAAAAGCCUUAUAGCGCAUUCAGAGCUUUCAAACUAUUGUACUUGUGGUUGGCUUAUAUCUCCAUGCAUAAGUUAAUUUAUGAGUGGAGUUUGGUAUUGCUGGUGGUGAUUAAUGCUUUUAUUAUCUAACAUAUCUACUUCUCAUUCAUCAUAGCAAUGUGAAAUGGCCUUAGGCAAUUGCCUGGAUAACUCUUGGUCAUUCUGCAUGUCCUUGAAAUUACUUUAUUAUAGUGGGUAUGCUGUGUGCAUGAAACCAGUUUUAUGACCUUUAUGCUUGAAACAAAUUGUAUAACCCUUUUGUUACAUAAAGAGGAAGUAAGUAUAGGCAGAGGAUGGGAGAUGAGCAGCAGCAGUAAAGCAGGAAGUGCUGUGAUCUGAGUAAAGGAAGCUGAGUCAGGCAUCUUGAAGGCAGGGCAACAAGUUAGAGUAGUUAAAGAACUACUGCAGGCAGUUAUCCUAUUAUAGAAUAUGCUAACUGAUCUGUAACUGAUUUGUUACAUUACAGCUACACAGCAGUAGCUGGAUCUGUAUAGGUAGUUGCUAACAAGUUGUGGUAACUCCCAUAUAAAUAGAGAGAAGGAUUUUAAAGAAGACAUUCCAGAGAAAUAUCAUCAAUAAUAUCUUCUAUUCUUUUUGAUUUCUUUCUAUCUCAGUCUUCAUUCUCUCUUCUUCCUCUAAUUGCUUUCUUUCUUCAAUUUCCACUUUCUCUGCUCUGUUAGGGUUCUAAACCCUGACACUUUUCUAUUGUUCAAACUAAAGGUUUGCUUCUGACCGUUGCUAUUAUUGAUGUCAUCCUUUCAUUGUAGUGGGUUGCCAACUUCUAAUAAGUUAUAUGAUCUAACUUUGGUUCUUAUAUUCAUGUUUUUUUGUUUUUUCAUCUAUAACUAAGUGGUGGGAAAUCAAAUUAAAAUUGGCCUGAAUUGUUUUCUUGCCACUCUUUAUAUCUCAGUUUUUACUUGGUCCAGUUGAUUAUGCUAUGAACUUGAAGUUGUAUUAAUUCUAGCUUUGUCUUACAUUGAACUGAAGAUGAUAAAUUUGAAAAUAUCCAACUAAUAGAUUAAUGUAUCUCUGCAUUUUUCUUUUUGAAAUGAAGUGGACCUUAUGUUUCUUAUAUUUUAGGGUGUAGGUAACAAUGACCAGA